GUAAAGACCAAACAAAAGAGAAGUAUGAGGACGUUCGUCUUGCAGAGAGCUGAUGGUGGUGUAAAUCAGCAGAUUGACGCUUCAGAAAUGGACUUUUGUGUCGAAAGGCUGAAAUCAGUAGGCUUUUUUCGGGAUCUCCCGUUACAGAGAACGAUCGUUGAUAGACGAUCUAGAGAACCAAGUGAGGUGGCACCGUGAGUAAUCGCCCUCAUG
rnacentral:ncRNA from 1 species